CCCUUAGAUGUUCUGGGCGGCCCGCGCACUACAAUGGCGUGUGCAGCGAGUGCCGAAGUAGAGUUUUCCGAGGUAUUCUUGCAAUGCUCGUUUUGAUGGGGAUAGACCCUUGCAACUGUUGGUUUUGAACGAGGAAUUCUUUGUAAGCAUGGUUUAUCAUCCGACGCUGAAUGCGUCCCUGCCCUUUGUACACACCGCCCGUCGCUCCUACCGAUGAGUCGUCCGGUGAAGUUCGUAGACCUCGUGAUCGCGGAUCACUGGGGGAAGCAAAAUGAACCUCGCGGUUUAGAGGAAGGAGAAGUCGUAACA
rnacentral:rRNA from 1 species